rnacentral:lncRNA from 1 species
ACUAAUUUUUAUAUUAAAAAAUUAUAUAAUAAACAUGUAAAUUCAUUAUCAAAUUAAUGCUAGGGACUUGAAUCAAAAUUUGAGAACUAAUAAGGUCUUAGUCAAUGAACAGUAAGAACUAGGGACCGGAUACUAAUUUUUCCUAUUAUCAAUAUAUCAUGUAGCAUGGCUUGAAUUAUUGAUCACCUUUUCUAUUGCCUUACACUAUCUUCCGGACCUAUAAUGCCAGUGAGUAAAUUGCAACAAAAUAAAUGAAAGGAUGUUGUUGUGAAGUUAGCUCGUGAUCUAAGAGUUGGAAUAGGUUUCUGGAAGUUUUAGACGUGUAACCAGUUUUUGGGCAACCUAUCUAACCAAGGCAGCAAGCACCAACUCGAGAGGUAAGCAAGUGUAGAAAGUAGGAUUGAUUGCCCUGGCUACCGGUCGGAUCGAGGCAGAAACUUCAUGCGUGUUUCUUGGUGCUGGGCGAUGGGUCGUGAUAGCUACACGAUCCAUCAGAUUCAUGGUUUCCGGAUUUUUGGGCUACUUUUUUCAGUCUUGUUUUGGGAGGGUUUCGGCUUUCUUAGAAGGAUUCCUAUAUUGUAACCUAAGAUAGGACUUUAGGUAUACUAAUAUGUAUAGGACUUUAGGGUUUUAUUCUUUGUACAAGAAAUACAAGAGUGAAACACUUUAAGAAAUCGUGAGAGCUUGUGAGAUACCAAGAACUAAGGUUUGGUUGGUUGUGAGCUAUCAUAGUCCAUCGAAAACAAUAUAUUGUUAGCGCACUUGCGUAACAAAGGCAGCAUCCUGGAUAUAACUACUUUUCCAAUAUCUUCUUUUUAUCGUUAUGUUGGAGGAAAUUGAACCAUGAACCUAUCUUAAUUCAACCACAAUACAUCAUUCUCCUUUGCAAUUGACUAACUACCAUUGACUUUCUUUUUAAUCUUUCCUCUUUCCUCAAAACAUCAAUAUAUUGAAUUUGUCCCAUUAUAAAUUUGCUGAUACAUUUACAUCGACACUCAAGUGCUAAGUAAUUACUAAUUUGAAACGACAUUAACCACUAGUAUAGCAGGCUUAAAAUAAUGUAUUACAUUGGCAUCUUCUACAAUCAAUUAAUACAUUGACUUGGUUUGUGCAUAAAAUUAAAGCACAUUGGUCUACAUAAUCUUCACCAAAUGACUUGGAAGAUUCACAAUAGGCACCUUGGAAGCAAAGUAUAUAUAUAUAUAUAUAUAUAUUCCUUAAAAGUUUGUUAAAUUUAAUGUUGCUUUAACUCUUCCUUGAAGCUAUAUAGUAUUCCUUUACAUAUAUGUAUAUAUAUACAUGCAUAUAUAUGCUUUAUCUCCAUUUUGUUGCAGUCCAACAAUUCUCAAAGGGUUUUAGUGAGAGAAGUUAACAACGGUGCCACGUUUGCUUCAUGGGAUGCUUUAUGCAACGAUAUAUGAAGUUGAUAGGCUGGAUAAUGGAUGUGGGUUCAACUUAUUGUUCAAUGUACCUUGUUUUUUUCAGCAAGAUUGAACUGAAACCUUUUAAUUUUGUGCAUCAUUUAUUUGAGCCAGUUAAAUUUGGCUGUCAAUUCUUUUUGUUGAUGUUGUUGUAAUGCAUAUAAAGUGGUCAUGCUUUUUGGGAAAAUAAAGUAUAAACUGACCAAGGAAAAUUGCGUCUUCUUUUCUACUUUUUUCGAUUUUUUCCCUCAAAAAUCAUGUAAAAGGGGUAAUUCCAAAAGUAAUAACCUAAUGAAUAAAUGAUAUGGUUGUAAGUAAUUUUGUUGUUGUUGGUAUGAUAUAGUUGUAAAGUUGUAUAAUGAAGUGGCACAAUAAAACCCAAAUGACUUUUCAAAGCACUUCUUUAGAAUUAGAACAACAGUAUGCAAAAUCUGAUUACAAGGGCGAUGGUGGCUCAAUUGAGUCUUGUCUAAUGAUUAAAGUUUUGAUUUGGAGUCUUCUUCUAAUGAGAAAUUCUUCAAAUAAAAGUUAUAUGAGAAACAUUUCAGUAUUAUUGACACAUCCCGACCCGGAAUACCCACUUGGGCUCCUAAUCAAGUUGUGUUGGCCGACACCAGGUGAUGCGAAUUUUAACUUAACACACAAAUUAAACCCUCUUGUUGUCAAAUUGUAGUAAAAAUGCAACUAGGGAUCGUUCUAAACCGGGGAUUAGGAGGGCUUGCUAAAACCUCUAAACUGACUUAAAAACAUACAAACAAAGUUAAAAACACUAAACUAGACUAAAAGAACUUAAAACAAACUCAAAGGACUCAAAACAAGCUAAAAACGUUCAAAUCUGCCUAAAAACACAAACUGGGCAGAUUUAGACUCUAACACACUUUUGUGACACCUAAAAACACAAAUCAAAACAGAUUUUGACUAAUAAAACACUUUAAAGUAAAGGGGGUUUUGAUUUUGACGAAUUUGAAAACAAAACAAGUAAAUUAAAGAACUAAUGAAAUCUGCACGAAUUUGAGUAAAUUGAAUGGAUGGAAGGCUAGCUAGGAGGUUUUUCUCCACACAUGACAUACUUGCACAUAAACCAAUUUUCAGUUGUUCUUUCGAUCAAUCAUGAAACUCAACACUCCAGGUUAAUUAAGUCUGCUUAAAUUAACCUUCA